CAUGGCACGCUGGGUCUCUUCCUUCCCAGCUUCUGCCAGGUCUCUCUUCUUCACAGCCAGCUACUCUCCACUGACGUACCUCUUCCAUUGGUGUCUCUCAACCGAAAUCAGAACUGUAGGAAGAAAACCCAUCAGAACUAUCUGGGCAGUGUGGCUGGCCCCUCUUUUGGCCCUGUGAAAGACCAGUGGGCUUGCAAGUGACUUGAGUGAGGGAGUGAGAAAGUAUUUCCAAUGUCAUGUUUUUCUCUCUGGCACAGACACACCUCACAGACUGGCACGAAUCAUUAAGUAAUUCCCUAAAGCCCUAUCUGCCUGGAAACGCCUACUGGUGUUUCCCAGAUUUCAGAAGCCAUUAACCCUGCGUGCCAGUAGGCUUAGCUACUCCCCACCCAGCCACAGACCUCCUGCCCAUCCGCUGGGACGGACACGAAGAGGAGAGGGGCCUAACGCAGAGGCGCCACCUCUGGAACCUGGGGCCAGUCUGCGAUUGUGCUCACGCAAGUCCCUGAGCUGAGACUCUCCUGAGUGCCGUCUCCUGGAUUAUCAGGCCUACUGUUUUAAGCAUGGUGUCUAUGGAGGCUAAAAUAGAAGCCCGUUCUGUCCAAAGAGCUCCUGUAGAGACUCCCCACCACCCUGCCUUCUUGGAAAGAGCGUCCAGCGCAUUCCACACUGGAACCCAUCACAGCGGGAAGAUGUCGAGGCCAUAGCUCAACUUCCUUGGGUCAGGAGAGGCCCCGAGCAGUCAUCUCUACCGCCUCUCAGCCCUCCAACUAUGCAAAGAAUGUGAACCAUUUCCCAUGGGACUGGCAACCUUGAAGCAGUUCUGAGCACAUCCUCCCCAAAUAUCUGCUUUGCAAACAGAUAAAACAGAGAAGCAUCCCGAAAAUGCUUGGGCUAUCCACCUGAGGUGGUGGUACAAUGUUUGCUUGCCUUUUUCUGCUUCUGGACUCCUUCUGAGAACUGUUGGCGAGCCAGCUUGGGAUGAGGCCAUGUUCCCUGUGGGGAUGGAGAACAGAGAACUCUCUGGACAGGGCCUCUCAAGGGAAUGGGGCCCAAGCAGUGCCCUGGGCCGUUUGCAGGGCUCCAGCUCCUGUCCCAGUAAUGGAAUCAAUGCUGAACAGUUCUGGGAUCAUUUGGAUGCCUUUUGGUGCCUGAGGAAUCUGGGCAUGGGACUGCCUUCACCACCACCAAGGACCCACCUCAACCAGCCUUUGGCCUCCCCAGUCCACGCCACCUCUGAUUUUGUGGCCUGAGUGGAUGGGGGCAGUGGCUGGGGCAAGGCCAUGCCAGGCUUGGCAGAACACGUGGGUGGGGAGGCAGGACAUGACUUUCUGAGUAGCUCUCACCUUCCAAGAGCCUCUGGCAUGCCUUGUUGCACUACUGCAGGCGUGAUCAGGCCCAGUGACCUACAUAACCUUACAGAGGUAGGCCAGGUGCAGACCUUGACUCAUCCCAGAGGAGCCUGAUUUGGGAAGGGUGGGGGUGGGGAGGAUUUCUAAUCCUGAGAUGUUGAAACCAUCUAAAUGUUCAGGCUCAGUGAAUCAUGAUAUGUCCAAAGGGUGAAAUAUUAUGUAAAAGUGAUUAUAGUAAAGACUACUUAGCAACAUUACAAAUGUUUAUGAUAUAAUGCUGGGUGAACAAAGGAAGAUAAUGUGUAUGUUUUGCACAAUGGAUGAGGGACGACUGGGAGGGGAUUUAAAAAAAUAACAAUUGCUCUGCU